rnacentral:ncRNA from 1 species
CAACAGGAUUAGAGACCCUGGUAGUUCCUACCUUAAACGAUGCCGACAGGAGUUUGUCAUUUGUUAAUGGCAGAAUCUUUGGAGAAAUCAUAGUUCUUGGGCUCUGGGGGAACUACGACCGCAAGGCUGAAACUUGAAGGAAUUGACGGAAGGGCACACCAGGGGUGGAGCCUGUGGCUUAAUUUGAAUCAACACGGGGAAACUUACCAGGACCAGAUGUUUUUUAUGACUGACAGGCUUCGGGUCUUUCAGGAUAUUGUUUUUGGUGGUGCAUGGCCGUUGGUGGUGCGUGGGUUGACCUGUCUAGCGUUGAUUCAGCUAACGAGCGAGAUUAUCGCCAAUUAUUUACUUUGCCGAAGUCCUUCGGUUAAAGUUCUAAUUGGGACUCCCUGCGAUUUUAGCAGGUGGAAGAGGGUAGCAAUAACAGGUCCGUGAUGCCCUUUAGAUGCUCUGGGCUGCACGCGUGCUACAAUGUUAGGAUCAAUAGGACUGCGAGCCUGAGAGGGUGCGCUACUCUUAUAAUCCCUAACGUAGUUGGGAUUGACGUUUGUAAUCAGCGUCAUGAACCAGGAAUCCCUUGUAAAUGUGUGUCAACAACGCACGUUGAAUACGUCCCUGCCCUUUGUACACACCGCCCGUCGCUCCUACCGAUUGGAUGACUCGGUGAAAUCACCGGAUGCUUACGAGCAGAAAGUGAUUAAAUCACGUUAUCUAGAGGAAGGAGAAGUCGUAACAAGGUAACGGUAGGUGAACCUGCCGUUGGAUCAGUU